rnacentral:rRNA from 1 species
GACGAACGCUGGCGGCGUGCCUAAUGCAUGCAAGUCGCACGCGGCACCUUCGGGUGCUGAGUGGCGAACGGCUGAGGAACACGUGGGGACCUGUCCGGGAGUGGGGGACAACACCGCGAAAGCGGUGCUAAUCCCGCAUACGCUCUGAGGAGGAAAGCCGAAAGGCGCUCCCGGGUGGCCCUGCGGCCCAUCAGGUUGUUGGUGGGGUAACGGCCUACCAAGCCAAUGACGGGUCGCUGGUCUGUGAGGACGACCAGCCAGACUGGGACUGGGACACGGCCCGGCCCCCCACGGGAGGCGGCCGCAGGGAUUUUUCGGCAAUGGGCCCAAGCCUGCCCGGGCAACCCCGGGGGGAGGAAGACGGCCUUGGGGUUGUAAACCGCUUUUGCUAGGGAUGAAAACAGCCGGUACCUGGCAAAUCAGCCCCGGCUAACUCUGU